rnacentral:lncRNA from 1 species
CCGACAGCGCCACCAACAGCACCACCAACAGCAACACCAGCAGUUACUCUCGCUAGACACCCAUCUCUUGCCAUCUCUGAUUCACUCAAAUGCACCGUUUUCCAACAAAUGGUUUUUUGUUAUGAUAUAUGCAAACCUUGCCUGCCUUGGAACGCAGUUCUCUGUUGCUCCCUAAUUACUAAACUUUUACUUUCACAAAAUGUUGAGGACCCAUUUUGACCAUACAAUUU